CUAUAAUACCAACGGUGAAUAGGUAGGGAAGAGGGUAUAAAAUAUUCGUAUUCUAUGCUUCGUAUCACAGACAACAAAUUAGAAUUGCCAGAAACUUCACAGGACAAUUACAACUGUAAUUUUGAAUAUUUGUGUGAAAGCCUCCAAGAUAUAUUUUUAUAUUGGUAUGUGUGGCUCCUGGCCGGAGUCUCAGCACGUAACAUAUGUAUUUUACUUCAUUUUUCCUGCAGGAACAAACUUUCCAUCUCCAAAUCAUUUAGUAAAGACUGCCAUCUUCAAACUCACCACCAUGACAACCUCAAAUCCUGCUUACAAAAACCAUGAUUACAUCUGUUAAAAAGGAUACUCUGUCCCUGCUGCUAGUAAAGAUUGUGGAUAUUGUUGACUAGGAAGAUGGAAUUGAAUAAAAUGAACAAGAUUGGAUAAGAUCAUA